UACGGAGGGGGCUAGCGUUGUUCGGAAUUACUGGGCGUAAAGCGCACGUAGGCGGAUCAGUCAGUUAGGGGUGAAAGCCCAGGGCUCAACCCUGGAACUGCCUUUGAAACUGUUGGGCUUGAGUACGGGAGAGGUGAGUGGAAUUCCGAGUGUAGAGGUGAAAUUCGUAGAUAUUCGGAAGAACACCAGUGGCGAAGGCGGCUCACUGGACCGUAACUGACGCUCAUGCACGAUAGCGUGGGGAGCAAACAGG
rnacentral:rRNA from 1 species